GGGGCUGACUUGGAUUUGACAGCAAUUGCGGAUGGUUAGUGUAAGCAUGUCGAGCCAUGUGGUGAGUCUCGUAAAUCUCUGGUCACAAACGAUAAUUGACAACACGUCAUAUAACCUCGCAGCGUAGUCAGUCAAACUGACUGUGCUUAAUCCAAUCUGAAGAACAGUAAGAUGGACGAGUUUCCCACCAGAUCUCCCGCCUCAUGAGAACUGGACUCUGGGAAAUCAACAAAAUGAGGAUAGCUUGUAAACGGCUUCUGUUUGCAAGUGAAACUUAACGAAGAUAAGUUACGGUAAGGGUGUUUGUGUCCGUUCCGUAAUCGAAAACCCAAUCACAAACUAAACAUGUAGAAAGCUAACAAUUUCAUUGUUUGGACGAGGGUUCGAACCCCUCCAGCUCCACAA
rnacentral:tmRNA from 1 species